UAAUAUUCUGGCGUAUUAUCAGUUGUUUAAUUUGUGAAGGUAAAUAUAAGAACCGUAUGUUUGGUUUAUAAUUGAAAUGGAAUUGGAUUGUAUUUUAUAAUUGAAAUGGAAUUUGAUUGUAUUGGCAUGGGUAAUGAAACAACGAAUUAUUCAAAAUAUUUGAUGUAUUAUUAUUGGAACAGAAAUCAGAAUGAAUAUUUAGAAUUUUGAAAGAAAAUUUUGGUUAAGAAAGAGAAGAAUGAUGAAGAGAGAGGAUGCGAGGUGUUUGGCAGAGAAGGCUUUAAGUUGUUUACUUUAGAAUAGGCUAAUUUUGAAUUCAAAACAUGAAUUUGACUAUUUAUAUUUCAGAGUGGAUAAGAAAUCAGAAUUAGAUUUCUCUAAAACAAAUAACAACUAUCGAAAAUUAGAGCUCGAUUUUUAUAGAAUAAACAACAACUAUCGAAAUCAAUUCCAUAGAUAAAAUCAGUUAUAAUUAAAUCUCAUUUUUUUUUACUUGGAUUUAAAAUAUUUUAAAGUCAUCAAAAGUGGAAAGCUUAUCUAAAAUGUUAUAUUUGGUUUUAACAUUAAUUUUUGAAUUUAAAGUUAAAUUUUAACUUAAAUUUGAAUUGAAUUCAUGAAUUGACAUCAUGAAUUUAAUUUCAUAUUCUCAACUUUAUUUGUAAAUUUAAACUCAAAUUUAUAAAUUUAUAUUUUAAAUUAAAUUUUAUUUAAAUCUGAAUUCUAGUUUUAAAAUUUAAACAAUUUAAUUACACUUUACUACUAUAUUGUACUAUUUUAUUUUUUCAAAAACACCAUUACAUUAUUAUAUUUAUCAAUCUCUACAUUGUAUUAUAAUUUUUUUCUAUCUUGUAACUACUUUCUUUUCUAAUAAAUAUCACUAAAUUAUUUUUUUUUCUCAGGAAUCUCUGCAUUAUUGUUAACAAAUCUAUUAUCUUAGAUCAAAUCUAAUAACUUGAUUAAGAGGCACACUUAAAUAGUAGAAAAAAUGCAAUGUAAAUAUCCAUGGCACACUCAUUGAAAAUUUUUAUCAAAUUAUUUUUAAUUAUUGUUUAUUAUUUAUAUAAUUUUUUUUAUUUUUUGUCAAAAUAAACUUAAAAUAUCCUUUGCCACUUUUAAUCUUUAUUUCUUAAUGGCUUUUAUAUAACAUUAUAUGUUUACUGCUUAUUGGAAUUGGAAAAAAAAAAAAAAAAAUUGAGUGGUACUUUGAAAAAAAAAUAGUACAAUGUGAAAAAUAAAAAAUUGUAAAGUACAAUGUAGUACAUUGUGGUUAUGCCAUUUUAAAUAAAAAUUUAAAUUAAAAUAUUGAAAGUGAAAUUUUAAUUAAAUUAUUUUUAACAAAGAAUUUCAACAUGAAUUUGAAUUCAAGUUGAAAAUUCAAAUUCAGAAUUUAUGUUUAUAUCUUGAAUUUAAUUUCAAUAAUGAGUUUUAAUUUGAAUUAUGAAUUCAAAUUUUCAAUUUGAAUUAUAAUUUAAACUCAAAUUUUUAAUUUAUAUUGAGGUUUUAAUUCAAAUUUAAAAUUUAUAUUUAAAAUUAAAAUUUAAGAUCAAAUAGUAAAUUAAAAUUUGAUUCAAAAUAUAAAUUCAAAUUAUCAAUUUAAAUUUGAAUUGAUAUUUUAGAUUAAGUAAAUUAUUAGAUUAUGGAAAGCAAAAGAAACUUUUAGAGUCCUUAAAAUCUCUCUAAUUUUAUAUUAAGUUAUGCCACAUUAAUUGUAUAAAUAUUGCUAAAAACUUACUACUUAUUAAGGCCAAAUAUUAGGAAGAAAAACCAAGGGUUAAUUAUACUUUUGGCCUUAUAGUUGAAUAAUAUUUUGACCUCUAAUUUUAAUUUAUUAUAAUUGUUAGCUCAAUUUUUUUAAAUUAUUGAAUUAAGCUUCAUGGUAUAUUUAGUUGAUUAGGUGAUGAUGUAUUAGAAAUGUGGCAGUGAUGUGUCAUCCUUGUUAUUUCCAUGUAGUUAAAAAACUGUUAUGUGGAUAACAUAUCAUUAUAUAUUUAAUUUAAUUUAAUUAUUGAAUAUUAUUAUAAUAAUAUAAAAAUUUAUAUAAAAAAUUAUAAUAAGUUAAAGUUGGGAAUAAACAUAUAAUAAUGUGCAUAAUUUAGCCAAAGAAAAUAACUUGACUAUCACAUUUUUUUUUUUGUCCUAUUGAAUNAAAGAAAAAAAAUUUUGUUGAAUGGAGAUGAAAAGUUACAUGAGUGACAGAAGGGAAAAGAAUUACGAAAUGAAAAUUACAGAAGUGACAGUAGGGAAAUAAUAUGUUCUAUUUUAAAGCAUCAAUAUUUAAGAGCGAAGAAAAUUACAGAAGUGAUGUGAGUUUUAAAUUUUUUCCUCUUUCCAAAAAUGCCUCUAUCCUUUUUUACUAAUAUUUUUAUGUCUAUAAAUUUUCAGCCAAUUAUUUUAAAUAAUUAACUAAGUAAUAAUUUAUUCCCAAAUAAAAAUAAAUAUUUUUCUUAUAUCCGCACCGCCAAUAAUUUUAAAUAAUUCGUAAUCAAAUAUUCAUAUUUGAGUUUGACACGUGGCAAGCAUAUAGAAAGCCACGUGUCAGCUUCUCACAUAGGGUUCAUUAAGGGUUCUACUUUUAUAUAUAGUAAUAGAUAUGAAGUAAAAAUUAUAUCUAUACUACUUAUAAAUUCCUUCGCAAAGAAUAAUUUCAAAGCAACCGCCAAUCAUUUCGUAAAAUAAAAUCGUAUCUUACAUUUUGAUCAGAAAAAACUAACUCUAUAAAAAAAAAAAUAAAGCAAAUGUAUGUUAAAUUUGAAAAUGAAAUCGUAUCUUACAUUUUGAUCAGAAAGAACUAACUCUAAACUAUUCACCAUCUCUGGGCGAUAAAAUUCAGGCAUAGUAUACAGACAAAUCACUCUAAUUUUGAUCUUCUAUUUGUCUCCAAGAGGAGUGAUGUCACGUAUUGAAUCAUAUCCAAGUGCCAUAUUCUAAAAAAAAUAAGACAUCCAAUAAAAAAAAUUAAUAUAUCAUAUUUAAAUAAUAAAAUAAAAAAAUAUAUGUUCUCUUUUAAGGCAUCAACAUUUAAGAAUUAAGAAAAUUACAGGAGUGACAGUAGACAAUAAUUUUAAAUAAUUAAUUAUUUGCCAAUACAAAAUUUGAGUUUGACCAUUUUUUUCGCAACUAACUAUUUCAAAUAAUUUGCAACAGAUUAUUGCUUAUUUCGCAACCAAUAAUUUUAAAUAAUUAAUUAUCUGCCAAUACGAAAUUUGAGUUUGACUAUUAUCUGUCAAUACGAAAGCAUAUAGAAAGCCACGUGUCAGCUUUUGUGACAAUAUUACCCUCGCAUUUAUAUCCUAUUUUCUAUCUUUUCUAAAAUAAAAUAUCUAUAUUUGAACUUGACACGUAGAUUAUUUUCCCUAAAGCAGUAAUAUCCGCACCCACCAAUUCUUUCGCGUGAAUUUCUUAAAUAUCUCAACAUAAUUAUAGGUGACUUUGAAAUAAAAUUAUUGAGUUUGCAACAGAUUAUUUCCACCGCGAAAAAAUAAUUCCCAACAGAUUAUUGCGUAUUUCGCAACCAAUAAUUUUAAAUAAUUAAUUAAACUAAUAAUUUUAAAUAAUUCGUAAUCAAAUAUUCAUAUUUGAGUUUGACACGUGGCAAGCAUAUAGAAAGCCACGUGUCAGCUUCUCACAUAGGGUUCAUUAAGGGUUCUACUUUUAUAUAUAGUAAUAGAUAACAAAAAAUUUCUAAUUAAUUUUAUAUUUUUUAACAAAUAAAAAAAUACACUAUCAAUCUUAAUUAUAGUACAUAUUAAAGUACACAAGCUAGAGAAAAAGAAUAUGGACCAAAGUAAAUAUUCAACUAAAAUGCAAAAUUCAAUCCUACUCUAUUAUCUAUGAAUUGGUAUGCAAAACAAUUUAUAUUUACAUAUUGAUGUGCGAAAUAAAAUGAUAACUAAUAUUGAUAUGAAAAAUUACAAAUGACAUUAAUAUUUAAGUAUAUAAUGAGAUCAACUAAACUUUCAUAUUUGACACAAAUUAGAGUAAGCACACAUAUAUUAUGUUCCUACUGUCGCUUUUAAGAUUCAAAAAUAUAUAGAUGUUGGUUUUCAAGAAAAUAUAAAGAAAAAAAAUUUUGUUGAAUGGAGAUGAAAAGUUACAUGAGUGACAGAAGGGAAAAGAAUUACGAAAUGAAAAUUACAGAAGUGACAGUAGGGAAAUAAUAUGUUCUAUUUUAAAGCAUCAAUAUUUAAGAGCGAAGAAAAUUACAGAAGUGAUGUGAGUUUUAAAUUUUUUCCUCUUUCCAAAAAUGCCUCUAUCCUUUUUUACUAAUAUUUUUAUGUCUAUAAAUUUUCAGCCAAUUAUUUUAAAUAAUUAACUAAGUAAUAAUUUAUUCCCAAAUAAAAAUAAAUAUUUUUCUUAUAUCCGCACCGCCAAUAAUUUUAAAUAAUUCGUAAUCAAAUAUUCAUAUUUGAGUUUGACACGUGGCAAGUAUAUAGAAAGCCACGUGUCAGCUUCUCACAUAUGGUUCAUUAAGGGUUCUACUUUUAUAUAUAGUAAUAGAUACCAUAAAAGAUUAAAAUCUUAACUAAAAAGUUAUAACUAAGUUUAUAUUUUACAAUUUGAUUUAAAAAUACUUAAUAAUGAUUAAUCACCAUUUAAUUUUUUCUAUUUAUUUUUUUCUUAACUCUUCAUUAUUUAAUUCAUUUUAAUUUUGAUAGAAUAAGCUUAGGCCCUCUCUAAAUUUUAGCCCGAUUAUACUUAAUUAUCUGAACUAACAAAUUAUGUUAGCUUUUAAUUUUAUUAAUCACCUAAUUAUGAUUUUUAUAGCCCAAUUACAUUUAAUUAUCCAAACUUAAAAAACUAUACUAACUUAAUUUAAUUAAUAACCUAAUUACGAUUUCUAUAAAAUUUUAUAACUAAUUAUACUCCAAAAAAGUCAAGGCCCUUACUGUUUGCGCUUUUUUUUUUUUUAAAAAAAAUACUAAGUUAAGAUAAAUUUAACAAAUGUUUAAUUCUAGAUAACUAUGAAUUAAGAAAAAACUAAUGAAAAUUUGAGCCAGGUAGCUGAUUAAAAUAAUUUGACAAUUUAUAUAAUUGAUAAAACUUAUUUAGAGUUAGAAACUUAGAUUGAAUAACUAAAUAUAAGAAAACAAAGUUUUUAGGAUGAUUUGCUGAAUUUUCCGGAUUUAAUUCAUUUGCAAGAUCUUUUAUUGCUUGGAGACCACACACUUAGGUAUUAUUACUAGGAAUCCGGCUACUAUCCUAUUAAUAGGAUUGGGACCAUUGUCUUAUCAAGUCAUUUUCAAUGAUCGACACUUCAAAUUGAUAAUCGGUACUGUUGAAAUUAAUCUACACUAUAAGAAAUAUAUAUAUAUAUAUAUAUAUAGAGUGAGGCUACUAUGCUAUCGUAAGCACGGAGCCUUCCGUGCUUCCAGCUCGUUUUUGAUGUUGCGACUUUCAAAUCGUCGAUCGGCUCCGUUAAACUUGAUCUAGAGUAUUUGGAGUGGGCCUAGAAAAAUAAAUUUAUUAAUUCUUUUCGAUAUCAUUGCCUAAGUGAUCGAGACUGGGCUCAAAAUCAAUAAAUUUCAAUGGCCGUAGGAGGCGUUUGCAAGGUUAAACGGUGAGAAAUACCAAAAUCACGUAAAAUUUUUUGACUAGAAAAUUUUUAUAACUAUAUAAAACAAGAAUAAAUCUUUGAUUAAUUUUAAUGCAAUAUUCAUAAAUUUGUAAGAUUUUUAUUUUCAGCCGGUUGAUUUUGAGCCCCUUUGUUCGACUUACAAAUGAUGAAUCGUAAAAUCAUAAAAUUUAUUUUCUAGGUACUUCAAUAUACCUCUAGGAUCAGUUUAACGAGCCGAUCGUCGAUUCGAAAGUCGCAACAUCGAAAACGACUGGAAGGCACGGAAGGCUCCAUGCUUCCGAUAGCAAUAGUGCCUCAUCUAUAUUAAUUAAGAAGAUAGGCAGCACGCUACGUUUAUUUCAUUUAGAAAUAAGCUUAGCUGGAAAUGUGAAUCAACUAGAAUUCGAACUUGGAUCUCCGGUAUCAACCACCAAGCUCUUUGCCACUUGCUCUAAGGACGGUCGGUCACUAUAAGAAAUAUUUAAAAACUGAAUUUUGUAAUUUUUGAAAAUCAUUAUCAAGUCUAUCGAAGAGUCGAAAAAAUGAACAGUCAUAAAUGAAUAACCUUCUUAAAAUAGAGGUUAGACUUUCUCAAAUUAUGAUCAGAAUUAUCAAAUAUUAUUUAAAUAGUAUAAAAAAUUUUCUAUCAAAAAUUCAAACAGUUUGGAUUGCUCUACACCGUUAAACAAGCAAACGGCUCAUAUAGGCCGUAAAAAAUUAUCGAUUUUAUGAUCCUUUGAUCACCGCGUAAACGAUUUUUAAAAUUUCUGAAAUUUAGUUUCUAGAUAUUUCAAAUACUCUAGAUCAACUUUAAUGGGUUCGAUCAUCGAUUCGGCAUCUCUACCAUCAAGAACGAUUUGAUAGGACGAUGGUCUCUAUCCUAUUAAUAGGAUAGUAGUUGGAUUCUUAUUAUUAGUAUGUCCGUUACUUAUAAAUCCAUCACACUCUCCCACUUUCGUAUUAUUGCUAAUAUGUCUGUUACUUAUAUAUCCAUCACACUCUCCCACAUUAUUUAAUAUGGGAUUUUAUUGGGAUGUCACAUGCUACAUACCUUUGUUAGUUAAUUCGCGAAUUAUUCACGAAUUAUUGAAAAUCCGAAGUAAACGGUCCGUUUAUGAAUUUUUUUUCUAAAAAAAGAGAAUUAUUCGCGAAUUUUUUGGCCAGUCGAAUAAUUUUCGAAUAAUUCGCGAAUAAUUCGCGAAUUAUUCCCAAAUUAUUGAAAUAUGAAUAAAAAACUUAUAAUUUUUAUUUUUAAAUAUAGAUUACCUUAUAUUUUAUAUUUUAUAUUUUAUACCGAAUAUAUUUUUUAAGCCGAAUUUUUCAACGAAUUUAAAAAUUAAAAAAUAAAUUUUACGCUUAUUAUACCCGUACCGAAUUUUUGCCGAAUCCGAAUUAACUAAUUAUGCUACAUACUCCCCUCAUUUAGGUCCUGACAUUCUCGUUAGUCUGGCUUAAUUAUAAGCAUAGUCCCGGAUUAUCAAAUAUAACGAUCCAAAUCACCGGUCCAGAAUGCUUAAGUCUAAUUAUUAUUAUUAAUGUAUCCGUUACUUAUAAAUUUAAUACACUCUCCGACAUUAUCCAAUGUAGAACUAUUGAAAUGUUACGAUAAUCAUCUCAAGAUACAUCUAUUCAUCUAUCAGUCUAAGUGAGUCAAUGCACUGUCUUAUUUAUGGAUGGCUUAGUUUGUCUCUUGCGCGAAGGCUUCUGUAUAAUUUUUGUUUUAUUUGUGAGAGUUUUUAUGACGAGAAAUCAAAACAUUUUAAGCAUUGUACCUUGCGAUACGGAAAUAAUAAUUAGUGAUUGAAUUAUUUUAAGCUAUGAUUUUGCAAAAAUUUGGAGACUAGGGUUUUUAUGAUUAUCAUCAUUUAAUGUGUGCAUGUGAUGGUGGUCGGUGAUACAUGAGGGUUGAAUGAUCAUAUGUCCUUGUAAACGCGAUUUAAUUGGUUGUGACUAAUAAAUAUAUGCAUGUACCAAUUAUAGGAUUUUAUUUUACUCUUUUUUUCUUUUUUUGGUUCAAUGUAUCUCCCAUGAAUCCUAAAAAUAGUUAAAUUUUAAAAUGGAUGAUUAUGUUGAGAUGGUAAGAAUUAGUAUUGACAAAUUGUAUUCAUUGAAUCUGAUCAUGCAGAUUUACCAAAUUCAUUACAUCUCUGUAAAUAAAUUAGUUCGUUGUUUUUGGUUCAUAUUACAUUAUUACUAUCCUAAUAGGCUAAUACAUAAGAAAAAUGAUUUGGAUCUUGGACAAAGAAUACCAUAUUAGCUAUCGAUGGUGCACAUAUACAAUGCGAUGCUUUAGGGCUGUUUGGUUGCAUGUAGUUGCAACUAUACGGCAGUUGUAACUGUAUGCAAAUAUAAAUUUCAUAUUUGAUUUGAUGUAUUUAACUUCAACUCCUGUAGCAGGAACUGUAGGAGGAGGCUCUAUUACAAUAGUUGAAACUAUGCCUAAAUUUGUCGCAGUUCCAACUGUAGCAAUUGGAGAGAAUAACUUUAAAUAAAAGACAAUUCAUAAUAAUAUUCUUACAUAUUUUUACAUUGAAGAUAAUCUCUCCAUUAUAUAUAUAAAACGAUAAAUUUUUAAAAAUUAUUUAUCAACUACAUGCAACUAAACAAAUUAUUUAUAGUUGUAUCGCUUUCCACUGCAUCCAACCAAAUAAGAUGCAUGUAGUUGCAACUGCUACAUUUUCAACUACAUGUAUUUCCAACUAAACUGCAUUUGUAAUUACAUUUUGUGUAUGUAAAUUUAGUUAAAAUUCUUCAUAUCAUGUAUAUCAACAUAAUAACAAUUCAUAAUAAUAUUCUUAUUCUAGCAUUAGCUAUAUUUUGUCUGCAAUAAAUUGCUGUGUUUUAUUAUUUUUGGGUUUAUAAAAUGUAAUGCUAUACAAUCUUUGUAACAAUAGCUAGGUACUCAUAGAAAAUGAAAAGAGAAAUUUACCGACCGUCCUUAGAGCAAGUGGCAAGGGGUUUGGUGGUUGGUACCCGAGUAUGGCUGGCAAAUGAGCGAGCCGGCUCGCGUUCGACUCGCGUUCGACUCGAUAUUUGGCUCGCUCGAGCUCGACUCGAAAUUAAAUGAGUGAACAAAAAGAAAGGCUCGAAAUUUAUUUCAAGCCGAGUUUGAGUAUUACUCGGCUCGUUCGAAUUAGGCUCGAAAAGCUCAAAAAGCUCGAAUAUAUAUACAUAUAUAAUAGAGCUACUAUGCUAUCGAAAGUAUUGAGGAUCUAGUGCUUUCGAUUUUUUGAUUCUUAGAUCAACCCCUUUAAUCAUUUCUUAUCUUUGGACUAAUAUUAUUAUUACCUUGUAGGGUAUUAUUUAGUCCUCAGGGGGACCGCAAUCAUACCAACCAUACAAUUCUUAAUCAAAGGAUCAAAAAUUUGAAAACAUCAAAUCCUCUAUAUUUUCGAUAGUAUAGUAGUUCUACACUAUAUAUAUAUAUAUAUAUAUAUAUAUAUAUAGAGUCCGGCUAUGGUGCUUGUAAAAGCACCAAGCACUUGGUACUUGUAAGUUUUUUACCAUUAGAUCUACAUCUUUGAUCAUUUUCAACCGUUAAAUUAUACUAUUCNUUUCAAGCGGCUCGUUUAGGGCUCGAGCUCGCUCGACUCGAAAUUAGGCUCGCUCAAGCUCGGCUCGAAUUAAUUUCAAUCCAAGCUUGAGCUUAAAUUUAUGCUCGAAAUUAAUUUCAAGCCGAAUUUGAGCCGAGAUAAGCUCGCUCGAGCUCGGCUCGUUUCCACCCCUAUACUCGAGGUCGCAAGUUCGAAUUCUAGUUGAUUCACAUUUCAAGUUAAGUUUAUUUCUAAAUGAAAUAAACGAAGCGAGUAGCGUGCUAUCCAAUCUCUCUCAAAAAAAAAAAAGAAGAGAAAUUUGUAGAAGGUAAAGUAUUUUAUUUUAGACCAAAGGAUUAUUUGUGUGGGUAGUUUUUAUUAUUUUUGAGUUCUUUUAAUGUUUUCCCAUUAACUUAUUGAGGAGUGUGAUCUUAAUUUCCAUGAAAAAUUAUACUAUUAAAUUUUUUUUUUUUAUUUUUUUGAGAGAUAGGUAGCAUGCUACCCGCUUCGUUUAUUUCAUUUAGAAAUAAGCUUAGCUGUAAAUGUGAAUCAACUAGGAUUCGAACUUGGGUCUCGAGUACCAACCACCAAGCUCUUUGUUAUUUAUUCUAGGAACAGUAGGUUCUAUACUAUUAAAUUAUAGAAGCUUCUGCUUAUAUACCUUAUUACUGUUCACAAUUUUCAAAUUUACCACCUUAUUUUUCAAAUACCCAUCUAAACCUCAAAUCCCAUUAAUAUAUUCGAAGAAAUUUUUGAAAAAAAAAAAAUCAGUAAGAAUAUCUUAAUCAACCAAAGUGGUAGAUGGAAUUACCUAGUGUCAAACAAAUUGCUCAAAGAAUUAGGUUCCAAUUUAGCCUAGAGACCAAAAAAUAAAAUAAAAUUGGGCACAUUGUGAAGAGCUAGCGAUUGUAAACUGCUUUUAAUUUGCAGUUUGUACCAUUUCGAUAUAUCUUUAGCGACGUAAUAAAACUAUUGUAAAUUAAUAAGUGAUAGAAAUACUAGAUUAUUAUGGAUUAAAAUGCAUUCUUAUUUUCAUAUUUGAGCCAAAUCACUAGCGUAACGGUUUGACCUAUAAUUCUUACAUUUUCAAUCAUACUUUCUUUCCUAUAUGAUGCAGGACUAUUGAGAUGUUUUCUUCGGCUUAGCAUCGAUACCAACAAUCCAACUCCCUUCAGCUCUGACGCCAAAUAUGACAACCCAACUAGCAGGAAUAGUUUAUUGGGUCCAAACCACUGGCCUAAAAUGUUUCAGCCCAGUUAUUACUAUUAGGGUCCAUGAUAUUUAUAUUCCCAAUUAUAUUUUUUUUUUCAUUCGACAUGGAAUUAUUCAGUAUUAUAACUAGUAGUCCAUUAAUAAAAAUAAACUAGUUUUACUGGCCGUACCUAGCACAGUUGGUUAAGAACUUGAUGCUUGGUACCUAAUGUCCCAAAUUUGAUGCUUAAUUACUUUAUAUUUCAAGCUAAAUUCAUUUCUAAAUAAUAAAUUUAACAAGCAGCUUGCAACCUUUCUCUCUCUAAAGUAAAAAAGAAUUUUAUACUUUCCCAAGAACUAUUUACCUAUCUAGUCUUUUUACAAAAAAAUAUUCCCUAUCUAGCCUUCUUUUGAAAAAUAUUCCCCAUCUAGCCUCAUUUUCAAAGAUUAGAGAAAAAAAAAAAAUUAAUACCUUUAAUAUAUAUUAAGGGGUUAAGUGGGAGAGAUUAUCUUUUUCUCUCUCCUCUCCUAUUUCCCGAGAUCCCUUCUCACUCUCUAAUUUUUGCGUAUAAUUUAUCUCAUAUCGAUUUAUUUCAAAAUAGAAAAUUUUUAUAUAGCGCAUCAAUCGUUUUAUAUUUUGAUGGAAAUAUUAUGCAUGGUUCGGAAGGAGUUGAUUAUAAUAGUUAUGAUCCAAAGCUAUUUGGAUUUCUCGUACUUUAGGUUUUAAUACAUUAAAACAUAAAAUUUAUAGGCCGAAUGGGAUCAAGAUUAUUUUGAUAUAAAAAUUAAUGGAAGAGGAGAGAGAAAAAGAUAAUCUUCCCCACUUAACCCCUUAAUAUAUAUUAAAGGAAUUAAUUUCUUUUUUUUUCUCUAAUCUUUGAAGAUGAGGCUAGAUAGGGAAUAUUUUUCAAAAAGAGGCUAGAUAGGGAAUAUUUUUUUGUAAAGAAGCUAGAUAGGUAAAUAGUUCCUUUCCCAACCUUAGUGACUUGAUAGUUAAUAAUAAAUUUAUUAUUCUGAAUAUAAAGUAUACAAUAUUUUCAAUAUAUUACAAAUCUUGAGCCAAAAGGCCCUACAUGUAAGAAAUAGUAUCACAUAAAUAGUGAAAACGUAAUCAAAAUGGUAAAUUCAUAGUAUUAAAAUUUUGUACCGGAUUUAUUUUAAUAGCUUCUCUGCUUAAAAAAGUAGUGCGACGAUCCAAGAGUUCGACAAAAGUUGAAUUUUCGCUGCAGCAAAAGCAACAAUUACAUUACGUACAGCUAGAAUGGAAUGUUCAUGGAAAAUUCUUUUUUUUUCCCGCUUUGGAUGAGGGGGAGCUAACACAGCAAACUACGGUUAUCAAUGCCUAUUUCUAAGGUAUGUCGAUGGAUACGAAUAUUCAAAAUUUUAUCCGAAUUUAAAUUUAAAUAGAGUGAAUUUAUUCGAUACUAAAAGAAAUGUAGUUUCGAAUAUGAAUAUUAAAAAUAAUAUCUUGACGAAUAUGGAUUCAAGUGUGGUUUUUGUGUGUACCCGACCCAAAUCCGAAUAUGAUCCGAAGUGUAUAUAUAUAUAUAUAUAUAUAUAUAUAUAUAUAUAUAUUGGAUGUUAUAUCUGAAUUUAAGUUUUAAAAAUUUAGAUUUAAUGUAAUAUGUUUGAAAUAUUAUAAAGAAAAAUAAUUAUUUUGAGUUUGGGCUUGGAUUCAGGUUUCGAAUUUCUGGUCGGGUUCAAAUUUGGAUAUGAAUUUUUAAAAUCCGUCAAAUUUGGUUUCAAAUUUGAGUUCGGAUUCGAAUUUCGGACUUGAUAGUCGGAUUCGAAUUUUAAAAAAUUCGCCUCGAAUCCAACGCAAUGACAUCCCUAACUAUCAUUGAUUUGGCGAGACUAUUCAGCUCGUCAAAUCGGUAUAUAUGAGUCAAUUCAUGGUAGAAAGGACAUCACAUUGCUUUUAGUGGUGAGGAUUUGUUCAGAAAUUAAUACAAUGCUAUCUCUAUAUCUAAAAGUGGAUAUAAAUCUUCCAGUAUAUUUACCGAAAAGUUACUUUUAUCACAUAAUUUUUAUAACAAUCUUAUUCUUUAAUACUAAUAAAUCAACAAGUUUGUUUCAAUGCUAUCUCUAUAUUCAAAAAUUGAUGCAAAUUUCACACAUCACUCAUCCAAAAAUUAAUUUUAUCACAUUAGUCUUAUCACAAUGUUAUUUUUUUUAAUAAUAAAGACACAAAAGAUUGCGGGCCAAAGUGAAAGAAGGUGCAAAGAUUAGGGAUAAAAUUAACGAAAAAUAAAAUAUUAAGAAUGAAAAUAAAAAGAAAUGAGGUAAAGAUUAGGGACCAAUGUGCAAUUAAAUGCUGAGCAAUCUCUGCACUUCUAAUCUAGGUGUAUAUUUUACAUUUCAUUCAUCUAAAAGUUUUUUUUUUCCUCUAGUUUUGUCCUUUUUUUCUUUUAUAAAAGACUUAAUUAUACUAUAGCACACUGAACUUUACAAAAUUUUUUUUUUCACUUUCUACUACUAUUUUUUUUUUUCUAAAUGCACUACUCAACUAUUCUUUUUUUUUUUAAUUAAGAUAUUUAUAUUAUAAGCAAUAAACCUACAAUUUUAUAUAAAAUAGUGAUUACAAGUAACAGACCAUAUAAUCAACUUAUUUUGAUAUAAAAAAAUAUAAAAAUCUAUAAAAUAAAAAAAAAGUAAAAAUAAUUUGAUGGAAAUUUUUAAUGAGUCUAUUGUAAAAAAAUUAUUUUAUAUUUUUCUACUAUUUAACUAUUAGCUCUUAAUAAAGUUAUUAUUUUUGUCCAGAAUAAUAUAUUUGUAACAAUAAUAUGGAGAUUGCCGAAAAAAAAAAGAAAAGGUUUAAUGAUAUCUACGAGAAAAGCAAAUAGUACAAGCUGUCGAAUCAUUCACGCUAACCAUUAAUCCCAAAAGUUCGAACAGUUAGAAAUACACAACUAAUUCACUUAAAAUGUAUAGAUACAGUAUUCACGGGUCUCGAUCGUGACUCGGCCCAACCAGCCUCACGCCAUUUCGAACAUAAUUCGGCCCACCCAGCUUCACGCCAUUUCGAAUAUGACUCAAUCCAACAUGGCUUCCUACCACAGGGCAGAAUGCCGAUCCAUUUAAGCCAACAAUCCCUCCUACAGCACCUGAACACAUUCGCAGGAUGUCUUAUCGGAUCGUUCGCGCAGUGGCGUUCACCAUUAAUUCCAAAAGCUCGAGCUGUUAGAAAUAUGCAACUAAUUCACUUAAAGAAUACAGAUACAGCGCCCACGGGUAUCGGUUGUAACUCGGCCCAACCAGCCUCACGCCACUUCAAACAUGACUUGGCCCACCAAGUCUCACGCUAUUUCGAAUAUGACUCGGCCUAACAUGGCCUCUCGUCACAGGGCAGGAUACUGGCCCAUAUAAGCCAACACAAACUAGAAAAAUAAAAAUAAAUCUAAAAUACAGUAUAAAGAUUGAUAACAUAUAAUAAUAAAAAGUCUUUGAAAAAAUAUAAUAUAUAAUAUUG
rnacentral:lncRNA from 1 species